rnacentral:rRNA from 1 species
GUGCCAGCAGCCGCGGUAAUACCGGUGGCUCGAGUGGUGGCCGCUAUUAUUGGGUCUAAAGGGUCCGAGCCCGCCUGAUAAGUACCUGGGAAAUCCGGUGGCCUAACCAUCGGGCGGCCAGGUAAUACUAUCAGGCUCGGGACUAGGAGAGACCAGAGGUACUCAUGAGGUAGGAGUGAAAUCCUGUAAUCUUAUGAGGACCACCAGUGGUGAAGACGUCUGGUUAGAAUAGGUCCGACGGUGAGGGACGAAGGCUGGGGGCGCAAACCGGAUUAGAUACCCGGGUAGUCCCAGCAGUAAACGAUGCCAGCUAUGUGUUGCUGGAACCAUGGGUUCCAGCAGUGCCGAAGGGAAGCCGUGAAGCUGGCCACCUGGGAAGUACGGUCGCAAGGCUGAAACUUAAAGGAAUUGGCGGGGGAGUACCACAACCGGUGGAGCCUGCGGUUUAAUUGGAUACAACGCCGGGAAUCUUACCGGAGGGGACAGCAGUAUGAAGGCCAGGCUAAAGACCUUGCCAGAUCAGCUGAGAGGAGGUGCACGGCCGUCGCCAGUUCGUACCGUGAG